CGUGUAGGUGGUUUUGUAAGUCGAAUGUGAAAUCUCACGGCUCAACCGUGAAAUUGCGUUCGAAACUACAUAACUUGAGUUAGGGAGAGGUGUACGGAAUUCCUGGUGUAGCGGUGGAAUGCGUAGAUAUCAGGAAGAACACCAAUGGCGAAGGCAGUACACUGGCCUGUAACUGACACUGAGGCACGAAAGCGUGGGGAGCGAACAGGAUUAGAUACCCUGGUAGUC
rnacentral:rRNA from 1 species